UCCAUUGCUAGUAGCAUGUUCUUCAUUUAAUUUUGUUUUGUUUUCAUAUACUUUUCUGUUAUAAUGAACCUUAUUCAAACCUAUUGAUUUUCUCUAAUUUUUAACCUAUUUUUUGUUUUUGACCUAAUUUUGAGUUCGACCUGAUUCCAAUCUUUUCUUUUCUCUAGGUUUUAAUCAUGAUGAUUCUUAUUGUCCAGUAAUUUGAUUCUCUUUUUUUUCUAAUAAUCUAACAAUUGUUAUUGUUGCAGUUUUCUAUCUUAAGUCAUGAGCUAAUGGAGGUGAAGUCAUAGACUUGCAGCGGCAUCAUCAUGAGAUUAAAAAUAUCAAAAAUGACUACUGAGAAGAUGGGGUUUUGCAUUAAAGAUCUUGUGAAUCAAGUAAAAUCUAGCGAAGUUCUGGAUCAAAUAGGAACCUUUGUUACUGUGGAUACUCCUGCUGGAAAUCAAUACGAAGCCAAACUCAUGGUCCCUCUGAACUCUCCACUGGCAAGAAAGAUACUCUUCCUCUGGAACCGGUUAUCACUGAUGAGGAUUUUGAAAAGGAAGUUGAUCUCAUGAUGAUGGACCCAGACUCUAUGGCUGUUGAACCUUCAUUGGCGCAU